rnacentral:rRNA from 1 species
UAGGGAAUCUUCGGCAAUGGACGAAAGUCUGACCGAGCAACGCCGCGUGAGUGAAGAAGGUUUUCGGAUCGUAAAACUCUGUUGUUAGAGAAGAACAAGGACGUUAGUAACUGAACGUCCCCUGACGGUAUCUAACCAGAAAGCCACGGCUAACUACGUGCCAGCAGCCGCGGUAAUACGGAGGUGGCAAGCGUUGUCCGGAUUUAUUGGGCGUAAAGCGAGCGCAGGCGGUUUCUUAAGUCUGAUGUGAAAGCCCCCGGCUCAACCGGGGAGGGUGAUUGGAAACUGGGAGACUUGAGUGCAGAAGAGGAGAGUGGAAUUCCAUGUGUAGCGGUGAAAUGAGUAAAUAUAUGGAGGAACACCAGUGGCGAAGGCGGCUCUCUGGUCUGUAACUGACGCUGAGGCUCGAAAGCGUGGGGAGCAAACAGG